GAAUUUUUAUCCCUAUUUGCUUUUUUGACAAUGUCCCAAAAGCAUUCACAUCUUCUUAUUCUUAACUAGAAAAGAAAUUAUAUUGAGGGAGAGCAAAAUGGAGAUUGCAACAUUCUACAUAAGGUAGUCCUGUACUAACCAACACAAAACAGAAAACACACAAAUACAAGGCUAAAAGAAAAUCAAAACAAAUAACAUUUGAAGACUCUAAUGACCCAUGAAGCACAAACCCUCAAAGAAGCCAUGAAAACCACAUUCUCCCACAAUGAAUUAAGGACAAAAUCUCAUUAUUGAAAAUGUGGCCAUUCCUCUCGAGUCUCCAUCUAAAUGCUCCAUGAGAGGGGAAAAAACAGAGAGAGAAAGAAGCACAUUGGCAAAGAACAUGAACAUCUCUUAUACUGCCAAAAAUUCUCCAUUUUAAACCGGCAAAAGUCUCUAAAGAAUCAAGCAUGCUCGAUACCCCUUGAGAAAGACCAAAAGGAAAAUCCAAAUUACCCCAACCACCUCACAAUGUGAAAAUAAGUGAAAACAAGACUCUAGGAUGCAACACAAUACUCAUCAAUAAGACAAUAGUAUUCACCUUAUGGAGAACUAAAAACCCUACAAAAGUCUUUAUCAAGAGAAUUUUAUGUUUCCAAAUUUUAUUAGAUGCAUGAGAAGGAUAAAUAAGAUGACAAUAGAGGAUUUACAGGAAAGUUUCCCCAACCAGAAAUCAAAAGAUCACAUCCUUCUAUUUGCACUAGAUAGAUAAAAUCAUAAAAAUUGAAAAUAUUUCUUCUUAAUUUCAUAGAUAGCUUAGGGAAUAAAAUAUUGCAUUAUAUAAAAAUGUUCCAACAACAGAAUUCCAAAAAUUAUACUAUUUCUUGUUUCAAUUAAAAAUCAUUUGCAACAUACUUUAUGCAAGCAUGUUGGUCAAAAGUUAAUUCUCAUCCAAUUUCCGAUGAACAUUAUAGAUAACUACAAUAAGAACGAGG
rnacentral:misc_RNA from 1 species